UGUGGAUUCUUCCGCAAUGGGCGAGAGCCUGACGGAGCAAUACCGCGUGAGGGAGGAAGGCUCUUGGGUUGUAAACCUCUUUUCUCAGGGAAGAACACAAUGACGGUACCUGAGGAAUAAGCAUCGGCUAACUCCGUGCCAGCAGCCGCGGUAAUACGGAGGAUGCAAGCGUUAUCCGGAAUGAUUGGGCGUAAAGCGUCCGCAGGUGGCUGUGUAAGUCUGCUGUUAAAGAGUCUGGCUCAACCAGAUAAAGGCAGUGGAAACUACAUGGCUAGAGUGCGUUCGGGGCAGAGGGAAUUCCUGGUGUAGCGGUGAAAUGCGUAGAGAUCAGGAAGAACACCGGUGGCGAAAGCGCUCUGCUAGGCCGCAACUGACACUGAGGGACGAAAGCUAGGGGAGCGAAUGGGAUUAGAUACCCCAGUAGUC
rnacentral:rRNA from 1 species